UUUUAAAUACCCUGCAAAAUUAUAGGCAAAGCCAGUUUUUAAAUAAAAAUAAUAAAAACAUUGAUAAAAGAUCUUCUGAGAAAAAAUGAAAAUUAAACUAGAAAUAUAAUUAAAUGGCCGGGCACAGUGGCUCACGCCUGUAAUCCCAGCACUUUGGGAGGCCAAGGCAGGCGCAUCACCUGAGGUCGGGAGUUCAAGACCAGCCUGACCAACAUGCAGAAACCCUGUCUCUACUAAAAAUAGAAAAUUAGCCGGGGUGGUGGCACAUGCCUAUAAUCCCAGCUACUUGGGAGGCUGAGGCAGGAGAAUCGCUUGAACCCGGGAGGCGGAGGUUGCAGUAAGCCGAGAUCAUGCCAUUGCACUCCAGCCUGGGCAACAAGAGCAAAACUCUGUCUCAAAAAUAAAAAAAAAUACAUAAUUAAAUGUAAAUAUAAUAUAAAACUAUAAAUAGCAAAAGAGAGAUGUUAUAUUACAGACCAUUUUUCAAUUGGAAAAAAUAUGGAUAGUAAGAAAUAAGAAAUGAACCACAGCACAAUAUGAAUUUUCAAAUGGUUCACCGUAUUUGAAAAAAUGAGUAUAUUUAAAACUUUUCCUGAUGGUACAACAAAGUACUUGAACUUAAAAUUAUACUAUUUAUUAAAUUCUCUUACACUUUUGAAGACACAUUUAAAAUCAUUUUAUGUUUCUUUUCAAUAUGUCUUAAUGGGCCAAAUCUUUGUCUUUCUAUUGCUUGGCUUUAAAUUAUUUCCCUAAAAAGUGAAAGUGUUAUAUUCUUAUCUGUACUUCAAAUCUUCUCAUAUUUCCUUUUCAUAGGAUUGUGUUCUGUCUCUUCUACAACAUAACACCACUAGGAUUUUCAAUACUUACACAUUAGUUUCCUGACUAUUCAAUAAUCAAAACCAUGUAGCAAAUUUCCUUCGCUAUCAAAAGUAAUCUAAAGAGGCGGUGAGAAUUUAUAUCUAAAAAUCCCACUAGUUACAAGUUCUUACAAAAAGAACCGAAGAGUUUACCAUUUUAACUGUAACUUUAAUCAUUCCUUCCACAUUAAUAAAUAAUUAUUAAAUUUUGAAAGGUUAGCCCUUCAUUAUGAAUUAUUCAUAAAUUCUACAUAAGAAUUACAUGAAGAUAAUAUUUUUCAGAAAGGUUAAAACAAUUUAACAUUUCUUUAUCUAUUUUAUGCUCUACUUUUUACAUAAAGUAUUGUCAACUUCAAUCACCACAACCUAAGUAAAUUUCACAUUAACAAAUGGCCAUGGCCAGGUGUGGUGGCUCACAUCUGUAAUCCCAGCAUUUUGGGAGGCCAAGGCAGGAGGAUUGCUUGAGCUCAGGAGUUCAAAACCAGCCUGAGCAACAUGGUGAAACCCCAUCUCUACAAAAAAAAUACAAAAAUCAGCCAGGCUUGGUGGCACACGCCUGUAGUCCCAGCUACUUGGGAGGCUGAGGUG
rnacentral:lncRNA from 1 species